UACGUAGGGUGCAAGCGUUUGUCCGGAAUUAUUGGGCGUAAAGAGCUCGUAGGCGGUUUGUCGCGUCUGCUGUGAAACCCGAGGCUCAACCUCGGGCCUGCAGUGGGUACGGGCAGACUAGAGUGCGGUAGGGGAGAUUGGAAUUCCUGGGUGUAGCGGUGGAAUGCGUAGAUAGUCUGGAGGAACACCAAUGGGCGAAGGCAAUCUCCUGGACCUGCACUGACGCUCAUGCACGAAAGCGUGGGGAGCAAACAGG
rnacentral:rRNA from 1 species